rnacentral:rRNA from 1 species
UCACGCCGACCUCAGAUCAGGUAAGACUACCCGCCGAAU